UGUCUUUUUUUUUUUUUUUUUGUUUUCCAAGAGAGAAAGAGAGAUGGGAGAAAGAGAGAUGGGAGGUGAGAGUUCUGUGCUAGAGAAUAUCCUGGCUUUUGUACCAAUGACCUAUCAAUUCUGUCACUAUCAAAAUUAGAAAAAUAAACAAGUGUCCUAUGGUAGUUGGAUUUGAUCAUUAUAUUACAAUAACGAGUGAUUAACUAAUAUCCAAGAUGGAAAAGCUAACAAUUUUCCAAUCAAAUUUGAUUAAAAAAAGAAGUGAAUUGCUGGACGGCACAUGGUUAGGACUUUGUAAUUAUUAAGUGGGCAACUUAUACUAAAUGCUUCGGCGGAUAUAUCUAUGGAGCAACGGCUGCUAAAUAAUUUCUUUUGUUUGCACUUUGCACGCCUUCUUUUUCUUGCAAGUUUCAUAUUAGUGAUGUUGAUGAGAUCAAAAGAAAUUGGGACCUUGUGUGAUCCUUACAAUGGCAUCUCUUUUUGCCAGGCCAAGCCAAAGCAUGGCUUGCUGUGACAAAGACGGAGCAAGGCAAGGUCAAGCCAUGGCCAACUAGGCAAAGAUCAAAGCAAUGCAACAAAGAAAGGACCUAACGGAAAGUCAGAAAAUAACUGGAAAAUCAAUGGCUUGGAGCAUUCUUUAUCUUUUUUUUAAACUACAAGCUUUUGCAUUAACAAGGCUAUAGGGCUAACAAUACAACUGAUUCAAUACAGAAAAAGGCAUUUGAGACCCAAAACCCAAUCAAUUACAAAAAUCCCCAAAUCUAGAUACUAGAACCCUAGCAGACGAUAACAACAAUUAACAAGACUCCCUUGCAAUCCCGCCUGGUCUCCUUGAGCCAGAGCUAGUGCGGUGAGUGGGAAAGAAAAUGGCAACUUAUUGACCCAAGAGAUACCCACUAACAGUACAGCUAGGCUUCCUCCAGGAGACCAACCCAUUAUCGGCAACCUAUCCAACACAAGCAGAUCCAAAAAUUAGCACACAGGUUUUCGAAAGUUGCCCUCUCUGUGUCCUCCAGACCUGUAGACAGGCGCAAACCAAACUAAAACCCAUAUACAACAAACCCAGAUGGGGAGGGUUGUCUUGCAUAGCUAGGUCAGAGAAACAAAAUCUUCCCCUGUCCGAAGGCAAGGGAAGCCGACGAGGAGAAGAAGCUCGGCUAACCCGAGAGUAGAGAGACGUCUGGAACCAGGGGUUUGAGAGAAAUUUUCUCUCUCAUAAACCAAGAGAGAGCAAUCUGGUAACAUAAAUUAACACACGGGAAAUGAUCUUAUCUCCCUUUCAACAUUUCCAAGUAAUAUGUGGUAGAAUUCUACUUUACUUUCUCCUGCGCAAGACGACUUCUUUCUCUCAACCAGUCUAUCCAAUGAUUUGAAACCCAUAAUAUGCUAACCAAAAUUGCAGUUACUAUCACAACCAUCCAAGAAAUCCAUGCCCAUCCAUGAAUCAAACCAUUAGAUUUUCCACUUAGAUGAAACAACCCCAUCUUGAACAUGAAGAGUGGACCAAGAAUACCUCUAACAACUGAAUAAACGGCUAAAAAAGGAGGAGAUAAGAAUUCAUACAAUCUUGCAGCAGCAGGAAGAUCAGCUUUCCGUAAACUUGCAUUGAUCCACACAUUCUGGCAAGGACUUGUAACUUCAGCUAGUAUAAGAAGCACAAGAAUCCCAUAAGCUCCAUGGUGAAUCAUGUACCGACAGGUCACAAACACAUAGAGUGUUGCUAGAUGGUGAAGAAUGAUGAGAAUGCCAGUAGUAGGGAAGAAAACUAUGCAGUGUAAGAGAUCCAUCAAGAAAUAAGCCAUGCUGAAUUCAAGAGCUCUAUCAUGGAAGGUGGAAUUUGGAGAAGCAAAAGUUUGUGCGGUUUGGGUGUGGAGUAAUGCAUAGAUAGCAAAGAUAACAGCAGGAGUUCCAUGAGUUAGGGACAGGAAAAAGCUUGAAGCUUCUGCUUUGCUUUUUGGAUCCCAGUUUCUGAAAAUUACAAAGUAAGCAAGUAGAUACAUGGAGAGAAACAUAAUGAAGGAUGUGGGCAGGAUUGGGGCAUAAAGAAGUGUAGCAUCCAUGUCACCCCAGCUGCAAGGAAUUCAGUGCACAGUGAAAGGGAGAGAAGAUUUUGAAUAAUUGAAGCAAGCAUGAGGAUAUUUUGGAGCUAAGAAAUUAAUAAAGCUUAAAUUGAGAGAGAAAGAAGAGAAGUGUCAGAGUUCUGUGCGAGAGAAUAUCUUAGUAGGGGUGGCCACUGGUUAAAAUUUUUGAACCACCAGGUUCAAACAUGAAACUAUCAUGAGACAAUUUAGAAGACGAUGACGAUUCCUGAAUUUCCAG
rnacentral:misc_RNA from 1 species